UCACUUUAGCUGCGUGCAUACUACAAUUGGAACGAUACGGAGAGGAUUAGCAUGGCUUCUGUGAGAGGAUGACACACAUUCAUGAAGCACUCCACAUUAAA
rnacentral:snRNA from 1 species